GCGCUAUCAGAUGAGCCUAGGUCGGAUUAGCUAGUUGGUGGGGUAAUGGCUCACCAAGGCGACGAUCCGUAACUGGUCUGAGAGGGUGAUCAGUCACACUGGAAGUGAGACACGAUCCAGACUCCUACGGGAGGCAGCAGUGGGGAAUAUUGGACAAUGGGCGAAAGCGUGAUCCAAACGUGCCGCGUGUGUGAAGAAGGUCUUCGGAUUGUAAAGCAAUUGGAGUUGGAGGAAGGGCAGUUACCUAAUACGUGA
rnacentral:rRNA from 1 species